CUCUACUGUAUAUUUCUAAAAUCAAAUUGUUCAUCACAACUUAAAUUAAGUCCAACAAUGAAUAGGAACAAUGUUCAGAAAGUACAUUCAUUGAAGGUUCUAUGGCCACAGCAAUGCAAACAGUAUGGUUUCUUACGUACUGUCGAGUGCGUAGAGUGGAGUGCAACAUAAAUUGUGGAAAACCACGUCCUACAUUGCAGCUUCCAAAUGACGGCCGUCUAUAAAAUUCUUGUUGUUCUUCAUCUGGAGCCAUUAAUUUUUCGAAAUUACGUACUUGUGAUUCGUUGUAUAAGCCCAUCACGUUGUAUAAGCCCACCGUGUAUAAGCCCACCGCAUGUACUAACACUCACCUCAUUCCAAAUAUAAGCCCCCCCCCCCCCGAAUAUAAGCCCACCCGAAUAUAAGUCGCCCAAUUAAUAUAAGCCCAGUAAUCGCUGCUUAAUACAUGUUUAUUUCCCUGUUUAUGACUGACUUGUUUAUGUCUGACUUGUUU